AGCGCAGGCGGACCGGCAAGUUGGAAGUGAAAACUAUGGGCUCAACCCAUAAAUUGCUUUCAAAACUGCUGGCCUUGAGUAGUGCAGAGGUAGGUGGAAUUCCCGGUGUAGCGGUGGAAUGCGUAGAUAUCGGGAGGAACACCAGUGGCGAAGGCGACCUACUGGGCACCAACUGACGCUGAGGCUCGAAAGUGUGGGUAGCAAACA
rnacentral:rRNA from 1 species